AAAAACUCCGGUGGUAUGAGAUGGACCCGCGUCUGAUUAGCUGGUUGGAGGGGUAACGGCCCACCAAGGCGACGAUCAGUAGCCGGCCUGAGAGGGUGAACGGCCACAUUGGGACUGAGACACGGCCCAGACUCCUACGGGAGGCAGCAGUGGGGAAUAUUGCACAAUGGGGGAAACCCUGAUGCAGCGACGCCGCGUGAAGGAAGAAGUAUCUCGGUAUGUAAACUUCUAUCAGCAGGGAAGAAAAUGACGGUACCUGACUAAGAAGCCCCGGCUAACUACGUGCCAGCAGCCGCGGUAAUACGUAGGGGGCAAGCGUUAUCCGGAUUUACUGGGUGUAAAGGGAGCGUAGACGGAAGAGCAAGUCUGAUGUGAAAGGCUGGGGCUUAACCCCAGGACUGCAUUGGAAACUGUUUUUCUAGAGUGCCGGAGAGGUAAGCGGAAUUCCUAGUGUAGCGGUGAAAUGCGUAGAUAUUAGGAGGAACACCAGUGGCGAAGGCGGCUUACUGGACGGUAACUGACGUUGAGGCUCGAAAGCGUGGGGAGCAACCAGGAUUAGAUACCCUGGUAGUCC
rnacentral:rRNA from 1 species